UACGUAGGGGGCAAGCGUUGUCCGGAUUUAUUGGGCGUAAAGAGCUCGUAGGCGGUCUGUCGCGUCGGCUGUGAAAACUCGGGGCUCAACUCCGAGCUUGCAGUCGAUACGGGCAGGCUAGAGUUCGGCAGGGGAGACUGGAAUUCCUGGUGUAGCGGUGAAAUGCGCAGAUAUCAGGAGGAACACCGGUGGCGAAGGCGGCCUGCUGGGCAGUUGCUGACACUGAGGCGCGACAGCGUGGGGAGCAAACAGG
rnacentral:rRNA from 1 species